CUGGUUGAUCCUGCCAGACCCGACUGCUAUCAGAAUAGGACUAAGCCAUGCGAGUCAACGUAGUAAUACGUGGCAUACGGCUCAGUAACACGUAGUCAACAUGCCCAGAGGACGUGGAUAACCUCGGGAAACUGAGGAUAAACCGCGAUAGGUCAUAAUAUCUGGAAUGAUUUAUGGCUUAAAUCUAUAUGGCCUCUGGAUUGGACUGCGGCCGAUCAGGCUGUUGGUGAGGUAAUGGCCCACCAAACCUAAAACCGGUACGGGCUCUGAGAGGAGAAGCCUGGAGAUGGGCACUGAGACAAGGGCCCAGGCCCUAUGGGGCGCAGCAGGCGCGAAAACUCUGCAAUAAGCGAAAGCUUGACAGGGUUAUUCUGAGUGAUUUCCGCUAAGGAAAUCUUUUGGCACCUCUAAAAAUGGUGCAGAAUAAGGGGUGGGCAAGCCUGGUGUCAGCCGCCGCGGUAAUACCAGCACCCCGAGUGGUCGGGACGAUUAUUGGGCCUAAAGCAUCCGUAGCCGGUUCUACAAGUCUUCCGUUAAAUCCACCUGCUUAACAGAUGGGCUGCGGAGGAUACUAUAGAGCUAGGAGGCGGGAGAGGCAAGCGGUACUUAGUGGGUAGGGGUAAAAUCCGUUGAUCCAUUGAAGACCACCAGUGGCGAAGGCGGCUUGCCAGAACGCACUCGACGGUGAGGGGUGAAAGCUGGGGGAGCAAACCGGAUUAGAUACCCGGGUAGUCCCAGCUGUAAACGAUGCAGACUCGGUGAUGAAUAGGCUUCGUGCCUAUUCAGUGCCGCAGGGAAGCCGUUAAGUCUGCCGCCUGGGGAGUACGG
rnacentral:rRNA from 1 species